CGCACGGGUGAGUAAUGCAUAGGUAACGUGCCCCUUAGUCUGGGAUAGCCACUGGAAACGGUGAAUAAUACCGGAUACUCCCUCUAGCUUAAUGCUAGUCGGGAAAGUUUUUCGCUAAGGGAUCGGCCUAUGUUGUAUCAGGUAGUUGGUAGGGUAAUGGCCUACCAAGCCUAUGACACAUAGCGGGUCUGAGAGGAUGAUCCGCCACACUGGUACUGAGACACGGACCAG
rnacentral:rRNA from 1 species